rnacentral:ncRNA from 1 species
CAAAGGCUUGGUCCUGACUUUACUAUCAGCUUUAACCCCAUUUAUACAUGCAAGCAUCCGCAUACCCGUGAGAAUGCCCUUAAUCCUCCGUCCGAGGACGAGGAGCAGGUAUCAGGCACAACAGCCAACUUAGCCCAAGACGCCUUGCUACGCCACACCCCCAAGGGACUUCAGCAGUAAUAAAUAUUAAGCCAUAAGUGAAAACUUGACUUAGUCAGAGUUAAAAGGGUCGGUAAAAUUCGUGCCAGCCACCGCGGUUAUACGAAAGACCCCAGUUGAUAUACGCGGCGUAAAGGGUGGUUAUGGGAAAAAUAAUAAAUAAAGCUAAAGACCCUCUAAGCCGUCAUACGCACCCCGAGGAUACGAAACCCAACCACGAAAGUAGCUUUAAACAUUCACCUGACCCCACGAAAGCUAAGAAACAAACUGGGAUUAGAUACCCCACUAUGCUUAGCCCUAAACUUAGAUGUAGCCUUACACACACAUCCGCCCGGGUACUACGAGCACAGCUUAAAACCCAAAGGACUUGGCGGUGUCUCAGACCCACCUAGAGGAGCCUGUUCUAGAACCGAUACCCCCCGUUAAACCUCAUCACUUCUUGUUUUUUCCGCCUAUAUACCGCCGUCGUCAGCUUACCCUGUGAAGGCUCAAUAGUAAGCAAAAUGGGCCCGCCCAAAAACGUCAGGUCGAGGUGUAGCGUACGAAGUGGAAAGAAAUGGGCUACAUUUUCUACAUACAGAAUAUUACGAACAGCACCUUGAAAUCAGGUGCCAGAAGGUGGAUUUAGUAGUAAAAAGCAAAUAGAGUGUACCUUUGAACUAGGCUCUGAGACGCGCACACACCGCCCGUCACUCUCCCCUACUACCCUCUUUAAUAAUACAUAAUAAAUUAAUUAUAAAUACGGGGAGGCAAGUCGUAACAUGGUAAGUGUACCGGAAGGUGCACUUGGAAUAAC